rnacentral:tRNA from 1 species
GCGACUGUAGUAUAGUCUGGUAGUACACUAGCUUGCCAAGCUAGUUACCCGGGUUCAAAUCCCGGCGGUCGCA